rnacentral:lncRNA from 1 species
CUUGGACCCUACAGGACCAUUGCUGAUCUAACAACCUCGGUGUUGUUUUACUCCAGAUUCUCACUGGAAUUUCAGCCAGAACAGUGUCUCUCAGAGGUCUUGGAAAGUGUAGUGAGCAUGAAUCAUGAGUGUUUAUUUUGACAAGGAAAAAUCCUGUGACAAGGGUAGAGGAAGGAAAGACAAAGGAAUUAUUAUAACAAUAAGCUGAUGAAGACAUGAUAAAAUAUAUAAAAACAUGCAAGUAUAUAACAGGUAAAUUCUCACCUUGAACUUUUUCAGCUUAAUCAGUAAUAGGAUGAUCUCAUCACCGGAGCAGCAAUGAAGCCUUCAUAGGACAUUUGCCCAGCUGAAAUUCAAUAGCAAUAUCCUUGCUGGUUCAUCUCACCAAAGUGGAUUUUGCUGGCAUUAUUGGAGGCAGAAUCCCUUGGGACUAGGAAAAUUGUUGGAAUACUAAGCAUGACCAUGGAUAUCUAUUGCUCAUGGCUAACUUUGCUGGGAAGCAGAUGUUUGAGAAUUGUAGGCAUGAGCCUGAGACAUAAGUAAAUGCAGAUGGCAAUAGGCAUGGAGGAAACCACACAAGAACAUGAGCAUUAUCUGGCUACACCAGUAUCUCACAGAGAUGGAAGUUGGAAGCUUGCAAGCAAGACAGAAACCUUUACUAUCUCUGGUUUAUCAUCCCUAGGAUGCUCACCUCAUCCACUGUUUGCAAGGAAUCAGAAAAAAAAACAGCCUGGAGAUACACACUGAUUGCUAAAGCUAAGUAUUAAUAGCCUCCAUCCUCUAAAACAAAACAAAACAAAACACCAAAAUAAAGCAGCUAACACCUCAAGAAUUCUGAUUUUGGCUUAUAGCUUAGCCUCUCCAGAGAAAGUUAAUGGCAGAUAUCCUUCUCCUCUUACAGACAGACAACAUUGGAGAUACAACCAGAAUUUUUUGGCUGUUGGAAAAAUGUUUUGGUGUAUUUCGGUUUUCUCGUCAGAAGAGGAAUUUUAUAUAUCUGCCAAUGUAAUGAUCUGGGGAGAUGCAGAAACUCACUGAAGGUUUGUCCUUCAAACUAGAAUUUAUUUUCCAGACUAAGGAAGCAAAUGGAAAGACAGUUGAGGGCAAGAAGAUGGGUGUUUUUGCAGUAGCACAAGUCAGAUGUGAAAAAGGAGAUUAACAUAAUGCAUUUUGGUGGGAGUUCUUUUCCAGUUUAGAUCAUCUGUGUGGUACAUUUAUUAUGGUAUUUCCAUUAUAAACAAUAAUUUAAUAAAUAAAACAGAAUAAAACAAUUGCCAGUGCAGCAAUAGCUGCCUUUUUUUACAUCUUCCUGUCUCACUGUGAAAGAUCACUCACUAAACACUCCAUCUCUAAUUGUCAUUCCAGUUACUUAUUGUAUAUUAAAAGGAUGGGUCUCUUCAGAGCUUGUUUUAUGUCACUGGUUGGUGUGCUACGUAUUGUAUCAGUCUCCACAUGUACAUAUGAAGUCCUUCUCAAUUUGUUGAUUAUAAUGCCCUGGAGAGACAAAAUGGGUUUAUAUUUCAACACCAUGCACAUUAAUGGUUAACAAUGUCAUCAAAACAUGAUAUUCCCAUACUGAAAGUAGGUGAGUUGAAAGAAUGUGGCUGAUUGUGUGAGCUUGCUAAAAAGAUAUAGACACAGUUACUGAAGCUUUGAUAACAGUUAGAAUUAAGGAAGCACCAUAAAAUAAUAGAUGUCUUUUGUGCUUUUCCUGAUUCUAAGAUAUUUGUCAGAUCCGAGAAGACCCCAUGAAAGACUGUUGAAAUCAUCUGCUAUAGCCAGUGAUAGCAGCAGGAGAGUAGGCUGUGUUAUUGCUGGGAUACGAGGAAAGCAAAUCUAAUUAUAAAAAAAUUCCCAAUUACUAAUGCUGUUUAUCAAAAUCACACGUACACUUGUUCUCCAAGGCUCCUGCUUUGUUCUGUUAUGGAAGCCCACACAAAACAAACCUAAUUUUAAAAGUUAUCAAGGUAGACAAUGGGUUCAACACUCUCUUUGCAUAGAUGUAUAUGGUCAUCUCAGAGAAAAGCAGAGGGGAAACAGAUUCUCAAAUCUUUCACCACCAUGUUAAAUAGUGUUUUAAGACAUAAUUAUCAAAGAGGCAUUCUCCUUCUCCUUUCCCUGCUGUCUGCUCAGAAAUUUCAAAGAAUUGUUAAAGGGAUUUAAUAUAUAAUCAGAAAACUUGAAAAGUAGUCAACCUGUACAUUGGCAAUAUUGUUCAGAGUUGAGUGGGCCAUGAAAGAGACCUUAUUUCUC